rnacentral:rRNA from 1 species
UACGGGGGGGGCAAGCGUUGUUCGGAAUUACUGGGCGUAAAGGGUUCGUAGGUGGCCAACUAAGUCAGACGUGAAAUCCCUCAGCUUAACUGGGGAACUGCGUCUGAUAUUGGUGUGGCUUGAGUGCAGGAGAGGAACGCGGAAUUCCAGGUGUAGCGGUGAAAUGCGUAGAUAUCUGGAGGAACACCGGUGGCGAAGGCGGCGUUCUGGACUGCAACUGACACUGAGGAACGAAAGCCAGGGGAGCAAACGGG